ACUCUUUUUUUUAUUCUGUUCUGCUUGUGGCACAGCACAGUAUUGUGUUCCCUGCCCCAGUGGCCUAGGGCAAGGGUCGUAGUGCCCGCCGUGUGCUCGGGCACUGGGCUCGCCGAGCCCACAGGGGGAAAUGCACGGUGCCGCACAGGUUCUGCUUGGCUACAAUGAUGGCACAUGGUAAAGUUUAAGAAGCAGCAGAGUGUGUGUAAGUGUGUGUGUGUUUGUGAGUGUGUGUGUUUGUGUGUGUGUGUGUAUGUGUGUGUGUGUGUGAGGGCACGCGAUAUGUUGCCAGCUUUUUCGCAAAGACAGAGCACACACCACUGCCAGCCAAGCACGCUGUGGGCAGGACACAAACCCUGGGUGGGAGUGGCGGGUCGGGGGGGGGGGAAGGGACAGAACACUGCAGAAUGCAAAAAAGCUCGCACCUCAUGUGCGGCAGUGUGCUCGGAGAGGCUGCUGCUGCACGACUAAAACGCUACGCAAGGUCUGCCGCUGGAAAACCCAGCCUGUGACACCCGACACAUAAAGACCACCGAAGAGGAAGAGCCGCCACAGCAGCAGCAACAGCAGCAGCAGCAGCAGCAGGGGCGAAUGAGGGCCUACUGCCACGCCUAUGCCUGUCUCCUCUUAAAACAGAGUGCCGCUGGAGUCCACGGCUCACUACAGUGACACGGUCAUCAAACGCAUGGCUCAAUCACAGCGUCAGUCACAACGUCUGAGGAAUCAUGGUCAAUGGCGUCGACCGUGGGGACCGAAAACACAGCUAUACACUGGUCUCUCAUUUCACCGGGUGUGUGAGACAAGGGAAAGACGGACGGUCAUGGAGACAAAAAAGACAAAUUUGUCGUUAAUAAUAAAUUUUGUAGACAAACAUAUUGUAUAUCUUUGAAAUAUAUUGUUAUAAUACUAUAUUUAUGCUGUUAUAGAGAUGACAGAAAUAGCCACACAUAAUAGAAAAACCUACGGUUGUAGACACUAAUAACACAAAUAGACAGUAAGCUAGUAGGAGGGGGCAGAUAUUUUAGGGUACACUUCGCUGGGAUUCAAUCAGUUUAGAGUGGUUUCAUGGUACUUGGCCUGCUCACUGACAGUCAUGUGACUAGCUGGUCAAGGAUAUCUUGAAUGCAGAAAGCAUUCAUUUUCUCUCUUGUGAGGCCAAAAUUUAAAUAAAAUGUCAAAGAUGUUCUACUUGCUCUCGAUUAAGGAUUGAGGUGAUCCUUUUUGAGGGAACCACGCAGGCAUGGAAUCAUAACCAUUCUUCAGCUUUUGAAUCUAGCUGCUUGAUUACAUAGAGAAAUUAUAUUUUAAAGCAUCACAUCUAUGUUUUUUUUUCUAUUGCUACCCAAAACUUCACAAACACAUUUAUAUGAGUAACAUCUAUAUAGAAAGAAAUUCAGACAACUAUUGCACCACAAUUAAACAAUGCGCCACUCGGGCAUCUUAAGUCCACACAUCUCACAGUGACAUCAAGACAUACUCUAUGGCAAUACUUCCAUAUAUCAUAAUAUACUAUGAUCCAUUCUGUAUAAAUGCUACCAAAAAGUCUCAGUGGCAUCUCCUAACAACUGAUUAUCUGUGCAUUGGUUUAGGGUACUGAAGAUGUGGAGACGUAGUUGUACGCUGAUCUGAUCUACAAUGCUGCGUUGAAUUAAAAUCCAACAUUAUCCCGUCACAGAGACCUCUCGUUGACAAGCGGGUCUAAGGGAUAAUCAGAUGUUAUUUGUGAUAAUCAGGUAUAUCUUGAUGUUACGGUUCAACGUUUGGAUUAUUAAACACACCCUGCAAUGUUAUUCAUUAAAAAUCUCAGCAUACAAUAAAGUAAGCUUAGUAUGGCUCAGUUACAGUCAAAAGCAGACAUGAAAUUAACUAAAUUCAAUCAUUUGGUCAUCCACCAUCACCAAGUACGUUUUCCAUGUAAUGAUCAGAAAACAAACAAACAAACAAAAAACCAACAACCUUGAAGUUGUUACCUCAAUUACUAUCUACCUAAGGAGCUUGCACGCCUGGAAACAUAGGCCCUUAUCGUUAUUCACAGUCAAUUCAGAUGGUGAACUCAGGUAGUCAGAUAACGCUCGACAAUUCAGUGUUCUACUAUGGGUGUGCAAACACUUCAUGAAGAAGGACAUAGAUUUCAUUUAUGUAAAAUUUUACAAAAAUAACCUAAACAGCACUUUGCAUUACAGGUCAAACUGUAGAUAUUUAGAUCCAUUUUUAUUUGACCCCUCACUAAGGUUCACAGGGAUUUAAACCAGCAUGUGAGGUUGCCUUAUCUUCUCUACUGAGUAGAUUAGCCUAUGGCACAGAUCACUUGAGGUCACACAUUCUAGACUUUUCAUUGCCUGAAAAGUUUACUGGACAUUAUACAUAUAAACCCUUCCUCCCGGGCUUACAUCCUGCUACUCAUGGAUGCUUAAAGUAACGAUCAAAAUAUGAUCAUUCAGAUCUCUCCAGAAGUAAUGGCAGAUGGGUCACUGAAACCUCUUCCAUAAAGGAACGUAUCAAAAUAUAUGUUUGUAAAACAACCAAAAGACUGCUUGCUUCUAUAUCAUCCUAGUUGCAACUGUCACAGCUCAAGCUAACUUGCAAAAGCACACAUGGAGUUCACACAGAAAGCUAACAAAGACAAACAUCAUUCACAGAGCAGCUAGUAAAAAUAUGAGAAAAAACACAGUGAUCGACUGUAAACAGUGCGCUCUCCUGCUUAUCGCUCACUGAAAAUGUUAAGUCUUUAACUCCUUAAUAUUGACAUCGGAGCACAUACAGUAAUGCUGCAAUAUGGCUAGCCCUGACAUCUUUGCCCUUAAGUGUUGUCUCGGACAAUCUAGUCUGGCAUCUACUCAAAAAGUAUUCAUCCCCAUACGCUUCGGUCUUAAAGUGUCUUCUUUGUUGCAGCACACUGCGUCGUCAUGGCUACAGGUACAUUCAGACAUUAGGGGGAAGGCCGCCACAGACUCUAGGUAGUUUUAUCAUACUUGUGCACCCCAGUAAUGUACAGCACAGUGCUUAUAUUCUUUCGAUAAAUCAAGACACUGAUCUUAUAACAGGACACAUACACUAAAAAAAACUUUUAAAUAUAAAAUAUAUGAAUUGUGUAUGAAGUCAGUAGUUGAUCAUGUAUUGCUCAAAGACAAGGGCAUGGAAAAAAAAGGAUAUCUGUGAAAAGAGAUAUGGAGAUAUCUGAUAUGAGAUAAAAUAGCUUUGAAUGUAAGCUCCACUUAAGUUUGGCACUCAGCUUGAAAAAGCCAGUAAAAGAUCAGUCACAGCUGAUUUACCCUGUAAGAAUACAAACACAGUGACACAGACACAGAGGAUAACAGAUGCCAGCUGGGGGGAAAGAGGGUGGCAGGUGAGGACACAGAGAAAUGCUCUACAGCGAAGAAAAACAAACAAUAAAUUGCUACUAUUCUUAGUGGUCCCUUCCCUAGAGAUAGCAAACAAAUACAGGAUACAAGGAUAUGUCAGAAAUCACAGUUCAAGGGGAAUAAGAGUAAAGACUUGGGGGAAAAAAAAAAGUAGGGCGAGAGUUUGAUGAAAGAGAGGCCAUUUGCCUCUGACUUUUCUGUCAAGAGGUCCGCACAAAUUCCUGAGCCCUCCACUCAUUAAGAUAAAUAACAUUCAACCCCAUUGCUUUAAAUCCUGAGAGACCUGUAGUAGUGACCCCCAUAGUAGGAUCCAACACAAACACUGAGAAUGUUUGUCAGUGUAGCAGUAAGAGCUAUCUUCCAUCUUUCUUCCUCUCUUGUUUUCUGGUUCCAGGAACAGAGAUCCCACACUUCCCUGUCAAGUCCCCCAAAAAGACAGGGUCUAUGAAGGAAACAAGGAAAGCACAGGUAGCCUCCAGUGCAGCCCCGUGUUGUUUCACAGUUUGUGGCAUUACACAGUAAGUAGGUCACGGUCAGACCUCACUCUCCACGCUGGAGAAGUGUGCAGAGCCCCGACGGGAGCACAAGCUCUUGGUUUUCAGGGGGGGAUGAGGGGACUGGAACCGCUGGGGCACUGACCGCAGUCUCUGGUACUGCAGUUUGGCGCUGGACGAUGACAUGGAGGAGGGCUGAGGGGCCCCGGGGGUUGAGGAGACCACAGAUGGGGAUGAGACUGACGAGGACGACGUGGGUGGAGGCACAUGUAUGGGGUGGGAGGAGGAGGGUGGCGGGGGG
ensembl:lncRNA